UCAGGAUGAACGCUAGCGGCAGGCUAACACAUGCAAGUCGAGGGCAACGCGAGUAGCAAUACUUGGCGGCGACCGGCGCAAGGGUGCGUAACGCGUGAGCAACAUGCCCGUAUCAGGGGGAUAAUCCAGGGAAACUUGGUCUAAUACCCCAUAGUAAUUUUGUAAGGCAUCUUAUAAGAUUUAAAGCUUUGGUGGAUACGGAUUGGCUCGCGUGACAUUAGCUGGAUGGUAAGGUAACGGCUUACCAUGGCUAUGAUGUCUAGGGGUUCUGAGAGGAAGGUCCCCCACACUGGAACUGAGACACGGUCCAGACUCCUACGGGAGGCAGCAGUGAGGAAUAUUGGACAAUGGAUGGAAAUCUGAUCCAGCCAUGCCGCGUGAAGGAAGAAGGUCCUAUGGAUUGUAAACUUCUUUUGUAUGGGAGCAAUAAGGCCUACGAGUAGGUUGAUGAGAGUACCAUACGAAUAAGCACCGGCUAACUCCGUGCCAGCCGCAGC
rnacentral:rRNA from 1 species